CAGGCUUAACACAUGCAAGUCGAGGGGCUGCAUGGUCUUAGCUUGCUAAGGCCGAUGGCGACCGGCGCACGGGUGAGUAACACGUAUCCAACCUGCCGUCUACUCUUGGACAGCCUUCUGAAAGGAAGAUUAAUACAAGAUGGCAUCAUGAGUCCGCAUGUUCACAUGAUUAAAGGUAUUCCGGUAGACGAUGGGGAUGCGUUCCAUUAGAUAGUAGGCGGGGUAACGGCCCACCUAGUCUUCGAUGGAUAGGGGUUCUGAGAGGAAGGUCCCCCACAUUGGAACUGAGACACGGUCCAAACUCCUACGGGAGGCAGCAGUGAGGAAUAUUGGUCAAUGGGCGAGAGCCUGAACCAGCCAAGUAGCGUGAAGGAUGACUGCCCUAUGGGUUGUAAACUUCUUUUAUAAAGGAAUAAAGUCGGGUAUGGAUACCCGUUUGCAUGUACUUUAUGAAUAAGGAUCGGCUAACUCCGUGCCAGCAGCCGCGGUAAUACGGAGGAUCCGAGCGUUAUCCGGAUUUAUUGGGUUUAAAGGGAGCGUAGAUGGAUGUUUAAGUCAGUUGUGAAAGUUUGCGGCUCAACCGUAAAAUUGCAGUUGAUACUGGAUAUCUUGAGUGCAGUUGAGGCAGGCGGAAUUCGUGGUGUAGCGGUGAAAUGCUUAGAUAUCACGAAGAACUCCGAUUGCGAAGGCAGCCUGCUAAGCUGCAACUGACAUUGAGGCUCGAAAGUGUGGGUAUCAAACAGGAUUAGAUACCCUGGUAGUCCACACGGUAAACGAUGAAUACUCGCUGUUUGCGAUAUACUGCAAGCGGCCAAGCGAAAGCGUUAAGUAUUCCACCUGGGGAGUACGCCGGCAACGGUGAAACUCAAAGGAAUUGACGGGGGCCCGCACAAGCGGAGGAACAUGUGGUUUAAUUCGAUGAUACGCGAGGAACCUUACCCGGGCUUAAAUUGCAGAUGAAUUACGGUGAAAGCCGUAAGCCGCAAGGCAUCUGUGAAGGUGCUGCAUGGUUGUCGUCAGCUCGUGCCGUGAGGUGUCGGCUUAAGUGCCAUAACGAGCGCAACCCUUGUUGUCAGUUACUAACAGGUUCCGCUGAGGACUCUGACAAGACUGCCAUCGUAAGAUGUGAGGAAGGUGGGGAUGACGUCAAAUCAGCACGGCCCUUACGUCCGGGGCUACACACGUGUUACAAUGGGGGGUACAGAGGGCCGCUACCACGCGAGUGGAUGCCAAUCCCCAAAACCUCUCUCAGUUCGGACUGGAGUCUGCAACCCGACUCCACGAAGCUGGAUUCGCUAGUAAUCGCGCAUCAGCCACGGCGCGGUGAAUACGUUCCCGGGCCUUGUACACACCGCCCGUCAAGCCAUGGGAGCCGGGGGUACCUGAAGUGCGUAACCGCGAGGAGCGCCCUAGGGUAAAACUGGU
rnacentral:rRNA from 1 species